CGGGGCUGCCCGUGCCUUGGCCCCGGCCCAGCUGCGAGGGGGAGCAGGAGGAAGGGGAUCUGGGCCUGGAGAGAAGGCAGGAAAUAGAGUGUCCUGUCCCUGGUCCUGUCC